rnacentral:rRNA from 1 species
GACGAACGCUGGCGGCGUGCCUAAUACAUGCAAGUUGAGCGCUGAAGGUUGGUACUUGUACCAACUGGAUGAGCAGCGAACGGGUGAGUAACGCGUGGGGAAUCUGCCUUUGAGCGGGGGACAACAUUUGGAAACGAAUGCUAAUACCGCAUAAAAACUUUAUACACAAGUUUUAAGUUUGAAAGAUGCAAUUGCAUCACUCAAAGAUGAUCCCGCGUUGUAUUAGCUAGUUGGUGAGGUAAAGGCUCACCAAGGCGAUGAUACAUAGCCGACCUGAGAGUGUGAUCGGCCACAUUGGGACUGAGACACGGCCCAAACUCCUACGGGAGGCAGCAGUAGGGAAUCUUCGGCAAUGGACGAAAGUCUGACCGAGCAACGCCGCGUGAGUGAAGAAGGUUUUCGGAUCGUAAAACUCUGUUGGUAGAGAAGAACGUUGGUGAGAGUGGAAAGCUCAUCAAGUGACGGUAACUACCCAGAAAGGGACAGCUAACUACGUG